CCUACGGGAGGCUGCAGUGGGGUAUAUUGCACAAUGGGCGCAAGCCUGAUGCAGCCAUGCCGCGUGUGUGAAGAAGGCCUUCGGGUUGUAAAGCACUUUCAGCGGGGAGGAAGGCGUUAAGGUUAAUAACCUUGUCGAUUGACGUUACCCGCAGAAGAAGCACCGGCUAACUCCGUGCCAGCAGCCGCGGUAAUACGGAGGGUGCAAGCGUUAAUCGGAAUUACUGGGCGUAAAGCGCACGCAGGCGGUCUGUCAAGUCGGAUGUGAAAUCCCCGGGCUCAACCUGGGAACUGCAUUCGAAACUGGCAGGCUAGAGUCUUGUAGAGGGGGGUAGAAUUCCAGGUGUAGCGGUGAAAUGCGUAGAGAUCUGGAGGAAUACCGGUGGCGAAGGCGGCCCCCUGGACAAAGACUGACGCUCAGGUGCGAAAGCGUGGGGAGCAAACAGGAUUAGAUACCCCAGUAGUC
rnacentral:rRNA from 1 species